GAAUUUAAUAUUUUAUAUAAAUAAAGAUAAUUUAUAAAAAAAUAUUUUAUUGGGAGGAUAAUUAAAUUUAAAUAACUUUAAUAUAAAAUAACAAUAAUUUUUGGAUAAUAAUGAAUAAGUAGAAUUUAAGAAAAAAUUAAUUACCUUAGGGAUAACAGCAUGAUAUUUUUUGGUAGUUCAUAUAUAAAAAAAUGUUUAU
rnacentral:rRNA from 1 species